rnacentral:rRNA from 1 species
CAGACCGUGUGCCCUUCUUCCCUCAAGGAAAAAAAAAAGAAAAAAGACCGCCUUGACCGUGCCCUAGCUUCACCGCCGGCCGGCCCUUCACCGCCGACCGCCGACCGCCGACGUCCCAAUCCCGCGCGAGUUGGUUUCGGCCAGCGGCUAAGUUAAUCCCACCAGCGUGCCGCACGCCCUGUAGAUCCGCCCCUGAGGAUUCGGUUAGGUUUGGUGUUGGCCUGGUCGCCAUGGGGCGGAGCUCGGGGGGAGAGGGAGGAGGAGGGGAGGGGCAAGGGGAGGCGGAUGGCGGCGGAAUCGCAGACUGCUCGCCGGGGACCAUCGUCUGGGUGCGGCGGCGGAACGGGUCCUGGUGGCCCGGGAGGAUAGUCGGGCAGGACGAGCUCGCGGCGUCGCAGGUGGUGACGCCCAGGACGGGAACUCCGGUCAAGCUGCUCGGCCGCGAGGAUGCUAGCAUUGACUGGUAUAACCUGGAGAAAUCGAAACGUGUCAAGGAAUUUAGGUGUGGAGAGUUUGAUGCUUGUAUUGAGAAGGCAAUGGCUUGUCAAGGAACUCCUGUAAAGAGAAGAGAAAAAUAUGCUCGUAGAGAAGAUGCUAUUAUUCAUGCUCUUGAAUUGGAAAGAAAGCAGCUUGCAUUGAAGUACCAGAACCAAGGUUUCAGGGCAGAUGACAGCUGCAGUAUCCUCUUUGCUGACACAGGGAGGGAGUUUGACGACUUUCCUUCAGAAUAUUACUCAAGAAACAACGUCCAGGAACCUCAGUUGCAUUUGCAAAGCUCAGCAUCUCAGCAACGCGUAGAUCUCAGCACUACUCGUUAUAAAAGCAAAAAGAGUAAAAAACAGAAAGGGGAUACCUCUGUUCGCCUUGGUAAAACAAAAGAGUGUGAAGAAAAGUUUAUUCAUGCUGGUUCAAAAAGAAACUUGUCAGGAUCUCUUGAUCUGGAAGCUUCAGGGAACACUCUCAGUAAUUACGUCAAUGGCUUUUCCCUUUCAGGACAUACGCAAGAAGGAUCAAAUGUAGAGAGCGGUGAGAAAAAUACAGCCCUGAAAAAGAGAAGAUUAGAGGAAGCUAUUUUUGAGGCAUCUGUUGUCAAAAAACAUGAUAGAUGCAGGCCACUUGCUCAAGUUGUACAGAGUAGCGUCAAAUUUCCUCGCUCUUUUCAGUGCAAUGAUGAUUCUGGAACUGUUGUAGUUGAAGGAGGGAAGGAUCCUUUGCCUGCUAUCUGUCAGGCGAAAAGAAGUGGUGCCACAUACCUGUCUGCUGAUUCUGGUGAUGCACAUAGCCGUGACUUCAUACCUGUUAAGCAAACAAUAUUAACAGAAGCUCAUCAUGAGACAGAAAGUUACCUAAAGCAGGAGGAUACUCUUCUCGAAGAGCAAACAUUUCCGGGCUUUGUUGAGAAGCAAGAAUCUGAUUCUUCAAUGAGUUUAUGUUCAGAUACUGAGACAGAAGAUGACGCUGAACUUCUGCAAAGGUAUGCUAAGGUACAAUCCCCUGAAUCAGAUGCAUGUGAUCCUAAUUCCCUCAAGGCUUCUAAUAAGUCAAGGCAUGCAAAUGAUAUUGAUGACGAUGAUGAGAUGAACUUUUCUACUCAUAUUCCUCAGCAAAAUGUCUUACUAGGUGAGGAUGGUUCUCCUGAGUUAGGUGUUUCCCAGUGGCAUAUGAAAGGUAAACGCAACCGGCGCACUGCAGUAAAGAGAUCAAUGGGGAAGGCGGAUGAAAAUCUGUCAUUAGAUAGCUCAAGUAGUUUCAUGAAGGGGCUGCUCAAAAUGGCCAAUAAAGGUGACUCUAAAGUUGAGAUUAUUGAUGCGUCUAGCCAUCAGCCGUUUGGUCAAAGUUUUCCUGAGAACCAAGAAGGGUUGGAUUGUGAUCAUGAUGAAGCAGAUUUGGUUGACAAGGCCGCGAGUCAUUCAGGAGUUAACAGAUACCAUGGUAAAGAUUAUCCCUUAUCUUCAGAACCUGUCAGAGAUAUUGGACGAAGUUACACUUCUUUCAACAACUCUGAAAUUUCUUGCAAGACCUCUUUGCUAAAUAAAAAUGGCAAUCAGAUAACCUCUAUUGAUCAGAAGGCAUGUGGGGACGGAUCUUCAUUGUAUCAACAAAAUCAUGGCUCACAUCUUGGUUACACUGGGCAGGUGUUGUUUAAUGUUGACCUGAAGGUACAGGCUAACUAUCAAGGUGAGCAUGUCCCAUUGGUUUCUUUGAUGAGCAGACUGGAUGGCAAAGCUAUUGUUGGACACCCUAUCCAAGUUGGAAUUCUUGAAGAAGGUUCAAUGGACAGGCUUAUUUUGGGCAGUGAUCUUGUUCUGGAAAAUAGCACAGCAGCACCACCUGCUUGGCCGACAGGCAGAAGGACUGUUAUGCCAAGAGUCCCACGUUUGAAUCCAUCACGAGCAACCUUAGAUGGCAAUGCCACCGAUGAGCAGGGGGUCAAGCAUGCAAAGAAAAGCACCACCAGUGUCCGGAGGCCAUUUUCGCAGAAAUCUCAAAAGAAGCCCUCUGGCUUCAAGAAAGCAAGCUCACCAAGCCAGAAAACCAGACCCCUUUCAUCCAUUUCCAUUGGGAAAAAGUCUCACAGAGAAGGUGGCCAGGCAAAGGCACAUAGGCGCAGCGAUGUUCUGGGUGGUCUAUUGAAAUCAGAAGGAGCAAUUCCGCUGGUCACAUGUGUCCCCGCAAAGGUUGUGUUCAGUAGGAUAAUGGAAGCAGUUGGCAGGCCGUCCCAUGCUCUUGCUCACCGUGCUAGAAAGGCCAGUCCCGCGGUACGGGAUCCACCGUAGGUCUUUUGGCUAUGCUGGUAGUACGAAUGGUUGGCAUGGCUUGACCUGGCUCAGGCUUGCAGCUGUUGUAUGUACAUUUCCCAAAGUCCCAAACUGUCGAUGCCUCAAAAUCGUCGUUGAUCUCUGACUGUCCGUCCGGUGGCUGGUGUGAAGAUCGAAAACUGUUUUUGUGUUCAGAUGCCGAAGCCUUGGCUAGGCAAUCUGAUGGAAGGAGCUUUCUUCAACAAAGGGGAAACCAGAGUACUGGCCAACGUUUGGAACUGGCUGCCUCUCUCUUUUGUACUGUGAAGGUGCUGACUUUUGUGUUUGAUCAUGUAUCUACAUAGUUUACCUUUGUUGUUACAUUACAUACAUAGCCAACAGCUCAACAGAUCAAUAGUAUGUUAUAUGUAGAAGUUUAUAUCCAGAUUUUGGAGUCAUGCUUCACCUGUACAGAAGCAUAUGUAGGUUAGUGUGUGAUACACAGAAGAGCAGCUUCAAAUGUUGUGAACACAAUCAAAGCUUUCUGGGUAACCUUGUCGACCUCAGUAUGUCAAUAGUAUAUGUUACUAUUACAGAAUCCGCAGUGCUGUGUUGCUGGCAUUGUUGUCAUCGUCGUCGUUGUUUGUUGUAUUUUUCUUGUUUGAAACUGCCAUGGUAUUUUCCAUCUGUCAGUCCCCCGUGGAAGGUGGGACCAAGUGGUUAUUUCAAAGAGUGUAAAAAAAGUGGUUAUUACAUUUCCUUCAUCUUUCUGUAAAAUAUAUACCUAGGGCGAAUCAGUUGGACGUUGUAA